rnacentral:rRNA from 1 species
UUCCUAAAGCCCUAAUUUUAGGUAAAACCUGCUCAAUGUAACAUUAAUAGCCGCAGGAAAUUUACUGUGCUAAGGUAGCAUAAUCAUUAGCCUUUUAAUUAAAGACUAGAAUGAAAGGUUUAACAAUUCAAUUAUUUUUUUCAAUUUUAUUUUGAAUUUUUAUUAAUUAUAAAAAUAUAAUUAUCUAAAAAUUAGACGACAAGACCCUAUUAAACUUUACUUAAGUUAAGCUGGGGAAGCUAAUUAAUAAUCAUUUUAAUAACAAAAUUUAAAUAAAAUUCCAGUAUAAUCGAAUUUACCAAGUUACUAUAGGGAUAACAGCGUUAUUUUAUUUUUUAGCUCUUAUUUAAAAUAAAUAUUGCGACCUCGAUGUUGAAUAAUUUUACUUAUAUGAGCAAAAUCAUAUAAAGUAAGACUGUUCGUCUUUUAAAAAAUUACA